rnacentral:snRNA from 1 species
AGCUUUGCGCAGUGGCAGUAUCAUAGCCAAUGAGGUUUAUCCGAGGUGCGAUUAUUGCUAAUUAAAUAAAUAAAAUCAUAAAUAAAUAAAUAGGACUCUUUAUAAAUAAG